GGGUUGUGAGGUUAAGCGACUAAGCGUACACGGUGGAUGCCCUGGCAGUCAGAGGCGAUGAAGGACGUGCUAAUCUGCGAAAAGCGUCGGUAAGGUGAUAUGAACCGUUAUAACCGGCGAUGUCCGAAUGGGGAAACCCAGUGCAAUUCGUUGCACUAUCGUUAACUGAAUACAUAGGUUAACGAGGCGAACCGGGGGAACUGAAACAUCUAAGUACCCCGAGGAAAAGAAAUCAACCGAGAUUCCCCCAGUAGCGGCGAGCGAACGGGGAGCAGCCCAGAGUCUGAAUCAGCUUGUGUGUUAGUGGAACGGUCUGGAAAGUCCGACGGUACAGGGUGAUAGUCCCGUACACCAAAAUGCACAGGCUGUGAACUCGAAGAGUAGGGCGGGACACGUGGUAUCCUGUCUGAAUAUGGGGGGACCAUCCUCCAAGGCUAAAUACUCCUGACUGACCGAUAGUGAACCAGUACCGUGAGGGAAAGGCGAAAAGAACCCCGGCGAGGGGAGUGAAAAAGAACCUGAAACCGUGUACGUACAAGCAGUGGGAGCACCUUCGGGUGUGACUGCGUACCUUUUGUAUAAUGGGUCAGCGACUUAUAUUCUGUAGCAAGGUUAACCGUAUAGGGGAGCCGCAGGGAAACCGAGUCUUAACUGGGCGUUAAGUUGCAGGGUAUAGACCCGAAACCCGGUGAUCUAGCCAUGGGCAGGUUGAAGGUUGGGUAACACUAACUGGAGGACCGAACCGACUAAUGUUGAAAAAUUAGCGGAUGACUUGUGGCUGGGGGUGAAAGGCCAAUCAAACCGGGAGAUAGCUGGUUCUCCCCGAAAGCUAUUUAGGUAGCGCCUCGUGAACUCAUCUUCGGGGGUAGAGCACUGUUUCGGCUAGGGGGUCAUCCCGACUUACCAACCCGAUGCAAACUACGAAUACCGAAGAAUGUUAUCACGGGAGACACACGGCGGGUGCUAACGUCCGUCGUGAAGAGGGAAACAACCCAGACCGCCAGCUAAGGUCCCAAAGUCAUGGUUAAGUGGGAAACGAUGUGGGAAGGCACAGACAGCCAGGAUGUUGGCUUAGAAGCAGCCAUCAUUUAAAGAAAGCGUAAUAGCUCACUGGUCGAGUCGGCCUGCGCGGAAGAUGUAACGGGGCUAAACCAUGCACCGAAGCUGCGGCAGCGACACUAUGUGUUGUUGGGUAGGGGAGCGUUCUGUAAGCCUGCGAAGGUGUGCUGUGAGGCAUGCUGGAGGUAUCAGAAGUGCGAAUGCUGACAUAAGUAACGAUAAAGCGGGUGAAAAGCCCGCUCGCCGGAAGACCAAGGGUUCCUGUCCAACGUUAAUCGGGGCAGGGUGAGUCGACCCCUAAGGCGAGGCCGAAAGGCGUAGUCGAUGGGAAACAGGUUAAUAUUCCUGUACUUGGUGUUACUGCGAAGGGGGGACGGAGAAGGCUAUGUUAGCCGGGCGACGGUUGUCCCGGUUUAAGCAUGUAGGCUGAUUGUCCAGGCAAAUCCGGAUAAUCAAGGCUGAGGUGUGAUGACGAGGCACUACGGUGCUGAAGUAACAAAUGCCCUGCUUCCAGGAAAAGCCUCUAAGCAUCAGGUAACAUCAAAUCGUACCCCAAACCGACACAGGUGGUCAGGUAGAGAAUACCAAGGCGCUUGAGAGAACUCGGGUGAAGGAACUAGGCAAAAUGGUGCCGUAACUUCGGGAGAAGGCACGCUGGUGUGUAGGUGAAGUCCCUGCGGAUGGAGCUGAGACCAGUCGAAGAUACCAGCUGGCUGCAACUGUUUAUUAAAAACACAGCACUGUGCAAACACGAAAGUGGACGUAUACGGUGUGACGCCUGCCCGGUGCCGGAAGGUUAAUUGAUGGGGUUAUCCGUAAGGAGAAGCUCUUGAUCGAAGCCCCGGUAAACGGCGGCCGUAACUAUAACGGUCCUAAGGUAGCGAAAUUCCUUGUCGGGUAAGUUCCGACCUGCACGAAUGGCGUAAUGAUGGCCAGGCUGUCUCCACCCGAGACUCAGUGAAAUUGAACUCGCUGUGAAGAUGCAGUGUACCCGCGGCAAGACGGAAAGACCCCGUGAACCUUUACUAUAGCUUGACACUGAACAUUGAGCCUUGAUGUGUAGGAUAGGUGGGAGGCUUUGAAGCGUGGACGCCAGUCUGCGUGGAGCCAACCUUGAAAUACCACCCUUUAAUGUUUGAUGUUCUAACGUUGGCCCCUGACCGGGGUUGCGGACAGUGUCUGGUGGGUAGUUUGACUGGGGCGGUCUCCUCCCAAAGCGUAACGGAGGAGCACGAAGGUUAGCUAAUCCUGGUCGGACAUCAGGAGGUUAGUGCAAUGGCAUAAGCUAGCUUGACUGCGAGCGUGACGGCGCGAGCAGGUGCGAAAGCAGGUCAUAGUGAUCCGGUGGUUCUGAAUGGAAGGGCCAUCGCUCAACGGAUAAAAGGUACUCCGGGGAUAACAGGCUGAUACCGCCCAAGAGUUCAUAUCGACGGCGGUGUUUGGCACCUCGAUGUCGGCUCAUCACAUCCUGGGGCUGAAGUAGGUCCCAAGGGUAUGGCUGUUCGCCAUUUAAAGUGGUACGCGAGCUGGGUUUAGAACGUCGUGAGACAGUUCGGUCCCUAUCUGCCGUGGGCGCUGGAGAAUUGAGGGGGGCUGCUCCUAGUACGAGAGGACCGGAGUGGACGCAUCACUGGUGUUCGGGUUGUCAUGCCAAUGGCACUGCCCGGUAGCUAAAUGCGGAAGAGAUAAGUGCUGAAAGCAUCUAAGCACGAAACUUGCCCCGAGAUGAGUUCUCCCUGAGACUNNNNNNNNNNNNNNNNNNNNNNNNNNNNNNNGACGUUGAUAGGCCGGGUGUGUAAGCGCAGCGAUGCGUUGAGCUAACCGGUACUAAUGAACCGUGAGGCUUAACCUUACAACGCCGAAG
rnacentral:rRNA from 1 species